rnacentral:rRNA from 4 species
UGCCAGUAGUCAUAUGCUUGUCUUAAAGAUUAAGCCAUGCAUGUCUAAGUAUAAGCAAUUAUACAGCGAAACUGCGAAUGGCUCAUUAAAUCAGUUAUCGUUUAUUUGAUAGUACCUUACUACAUGGAUAACCGUGGUAAUUCUAGAGCUAAUACAUGCUGAAAACCCCGACUUCGGAAGGGGUGUAUUUAUUAGAUUAAAAACCAAUGCCCUUCGGGGCUCACUGGUGAUUCAUGAUAACUUCUCGAAUCGCACGGCCUUGCGCCGGCGAUGGUUCAUUCAAAUUUCUGCCCUAUCAACUUUCGACGGCUGGGUCUUGGCCAGCCGUGGUGACAACGGGUAACGGAGGGUUAGGGCUCGACCCCGGAGAAAACGCCUGAGAAACGGCGUUUACAUCCAAGGAAGGCAGCAGGCGCGCAAAUUACCCAAUGCCGACACGGCGAGGUAGUGACGAGAAAUACUGAUACAGGGCUCUUUUGGGUCUUGUAAUUGGAAUGAGUACAAUUUAAAUCUCUUAACGAGGAACAAUUGGAGGGCAAGUCUGGUGCCAGCAGCCGCGGUAAUUCCAGCUCCAAUAGCGUAUAU